GCCCUUGGUGCACCAGGCGCGAAAACUUUACAAUGCGGGAAACCGUGAUAAGGGGACACCGAGUGCCAGCAUCAUAUGCUGGCUGUCCAGGUGUGUAAAAUACACCUGUCAGCAAGGGCCGGGCAAGACCGGUGCCAGCCGCCGCGGUAACACCGGCGGCCCGAGUGGUGAUCGUGAUUAUUGGGUCUAAAGGGUCCGUAGCCGGUUUGGUCAGUCCUCCGGGAAAUCUGACGGCUCAACCGUUAGGCUUUCGGGGGAUACUGCCAGGCUUGGAACCGGGAGAGGUAAGAGGUACUACAGGGGUAGGAGUGAAAUCUUGUAAUCCCUGUGAGACCACCUGUGGCGAAGGCGUCUUACCAGAACGGGUUCGACGGUGAGGGACGAAAGCUGGGGGCACGAACCGGAUUAGAUACCCGGGUAGUCCCAGCCGUAAACGAUGCUCGCUAGGUGUCAGGCAUGGCGCGACCGUGUCUGGUGCCGCAGGGAAGCCGUGAAGCGAGCCACCUGGGAAGUACGGCCGCAAGGCUGAAACUUAAAGGAAUUGGCGGGGGAGCAC
rnacentral:rRNA from 1 species